ACUCCAUGAGUGCAAAAAAUGAGUGGCUGGUAAAACAAUAUUUUUCAGUUUCCUUUGCUGUUGUAGAGAUUUUCUACAGAUGAAAAUUAUUUGUUUUAUUCAUUUGACAACAUGCAUAAGAACUGGCACAAUAUUUGAUAUUAAACUGUUGUCAAUACAGCACAUUUAGGCAUUAAUAGUUUACAGUAAAAGCAAAGAUUACAGUCUUAGGGACAUCAUCAAAAUGUUCCAGCUGAGCAUGUAAUGAAGUUAAAAUAUCACAUGUAAUCUGGGCAGGUGAAGAAUUUUUUUUAAAAGGUGAUUUCCAGACAUGUUCUCACUCUGCAGAUAUAAUAACAGUCAACACACUCUUCUAUUGGCUCCACUCACACCAACAUUGAUGUUUGAUUGUAUGCAAACUCAGUGAGCUUCCUUGUUCCUCAGCUAUAAAAACUUCACAUCAGGCUGUCAGUGGAGUUCACAGCACGUCAGUUUCAACAUAAACCAUGUUUUCUGUAGCUCUGCUGCUGCUGUUGGCAGCUGGAUGUGUGAAGUGUGUACAGUUGACACAGCCAGCCUCUGUGACUGUGCAGCCAGGUCAACGUCUGACCAUCACCUGUCAGGUCUCUUAUUCUCUUGGCAGCUACCACACAGCUUGGAUCAGACAGCCUGCAGGGAAAGGACUGGAGUGGAUUGGAAGUGCACGUGUUGGAUACACAACAGAUUACAAAGAUUCUCUGAAGAACAAGUUCAGUAUUGAUUUAGACUCUUCCAGCAACACAGUGACUCUGAAUGGACAGAAUGUGCAGCCUGAAGACUCUGCUGUGUAUUUCUGUGCCAGAGACUCACAGUAACACAAACCAUCAGUGGAGCUGAACAAAAACCCCUCAGUGCCUGAACACUUGGAACAUGAAGCCACCAGAGGAGGAGCCCUCAGACCACUAAUGAUUUCAACACCAGCUCACUGUUAAAGAGACAGAUAAAGCAGGGGAAAGUAUAAAGGAAUAUAUCCAUCCAUCCAUUUUCUAUACCGCUUAUCCGUCAGGGUCGCGGGGGAGCUGGAGCCUAU